rnacentral:lncRNA from 1 species
UCAUAAUUUAUAGACCAAUUCCCUUGUUGUUGGACAUUUAGGAAGGCUAUUGUUUUUGGCAGACUUAUGCUGCUGCAGAAUUCCCAGCUGCGUGGGCUGCGAUGGAAAAGGAAAGAUCAUUCCAGGGCAAGCCAAGAUUGGAUGCUGGGGAGCGUGUGGACAAGAUGCCAAAAUUGAGUCCAUGGAGCAGAAGUAGAGCUGGGAAUGGAUCAGGAUUAGAGUCCAGGCUAAUACGAAAGAGCUUAUCCCCCCACUCCUUCUUGUUUUACUUGUUUGUUCCCUUUUAUCUCCAUUCCCCGAUCCUAUUCCUUCUAUUCUUCUAGAAGUAACCAUUCAAAAGUGUUUUCCAGAAGCAGCUAUCCAGAGAGGAAUUACUUGUAAUUCCAGUGAGGAUCACUGGGGCAGGAUUUCUGCUGGGCUCCUACCAGCAUGUGGGGCAAGGGUUGGAAGAUCAUGGGGAAAACCCUGGUCAGAGGUUCAGGGUGGAAAAGAUUGCUUGAUACUCGAAUUUACUUGUGCGUGGAUAAAAGACACAGUCUUUAAAGUCAGUUUCUCACUAGCUAAGCACAUGGCUGGUAUUCAGGUCGGUGGGAUGGCACUUCUUCAUGCAGUCGUUCUGGUUCUGAUCUCCUCAACAUGUGCCUUCUAGAACCUCCCCGAGUAUCUCCAUACUUGCCCACAAGAAGGGCAAAGAGAAUGAAGGAGCAUGAAUGGGAAGUCGUAUGAGCCUGGGCUGCAAGUAGGGACAUCACAUCCCUUCACAUUCCAUUGUAGAGAACAGAGCCAUGCGGGUAAUGUGAUCUAGCUGUAAGGGUGCCUGGGAAAUGUGAUCCCAAAGAAAAAGAGCAAAUUUGGGGGCAAUUAGUGAUACCUGUACAACCAGUAAGUAGUACAUGUAACAUUUUGGCCUGCCAUCUGCCAUUCUCCUUUGGCUUACUUCUUAAUUGGUUCAGAAGUUUUGCCAACAAGGGCACCAUUUGAGAACCCCUGAAAGUCUCCCCUAACAAAAUUAUUUUGGCAAGUCGCUGGUUUUCCUGAUACGAGUAUACUCUCUCAGUGAUAUCUGUGGGAGUGGAGGAGGGGGGUGGGGAAAGUGCAAGAGAAAGAGAGGUAGAAAAUACUUCUGCGUGGAGGGGUAUACAUAAAAGUCCUAAGGUCACACCCGCUGUGGGGCCACUUUCACUCUUCUUAACGGUACAACUUUAUCAUUAUGGACACCUCGUAAGCAGACAUUUCAAGUGCAUGGGCCAGCAUAUAGUCCUUAGCUGGUCAUUUUAAACUUUCCUACAGCUUUAUAUGCCUCGCAUUCAUUUGUUGAAUCAACAUUUAGUGGGUUCCUGAAACAGCUUCUAUUCUAGUGCCACUAGUAUAUAGAAAACAUCCAAAGAUAUCAAAGUUUCAGAGUAAGAUGAAUUUGAAAUUCUUAGAAUUAAAGAUAAACCAUGAGUUAUACCUUGCUUUUAGGAUAGGAGAAGUGAUUUAAAAAAAUGAUAAAAUAAAAUUUGAUUAAAAAACCCCCCA